rnacentral:tRNA from 1 species
GGAGUUGUAGCUUAGUGGUAGAGCACUUGCCUAGCACGUGUGAGGCCUGGGUUUGAUUCUCAACACCA